rnacentral:ncRNA from 1 species
AAAACAGAGGGUGAAAAGUUCCUGAACUUGCUUAGGGUUAAGGCUAUUUAUAGUACCCGUCUUGAAACACGGAUUAGGGAGUUUAUCUGUAGUGCGAGUCUUUGCACGUUAACUGUAAAGGCGUAGAGAAAGCAACUGGCGUUUGCAUGGCUACUGAGCAUUACUGAUAGGACCCGAAAGGUGGUGAACUUUGCCUGCACAGGUUGAAGUCAGGGGAAACUCUGAUGGAGGACCGUACGGGUUAUUGAUGUGCAAAUCAUUUUUCUGAUGUAGGUAAAGGUGCGAAAGACUCAUCGAACCACCUAAUAGCUGGUUUCCUCCGAAGUUUCCCUCAGGAUAGCUGUAAUGCAUUUAGUUAAGGGGAGUAGAGAUAUGGGUAGAGGUGCAGGGAGCCUUCGGGUUCUCAACUUAUUUCCAAACUUCGAACCUCCUUGUUAGGCAUUUACCUAACUGGAAAUGCUUAAAUGAAUUAGCGUUACAAGUGGGCUCUGACCGGUAAGCGGUCAUGGCGAAAUGGGAUGAACCAUACGUCUGAAUAAGGUGCCGAAAUGUACUAUCACUGAUACCAUAAAGGGAGUCCAUGUAUUUAGACAGCAGGUCGGUGCCCCUAAAAGCAGGUAUCCGCUAAAGAGUGUGUUAAAACUCACCUGCCGAAUACUAGGGCCCCGAAAAUGAAUGGCGCAUAUAGUACUACCGAUCUCAGACAUCAGUUCUAUUGAACUGAGAGUAGGGGGAUGUGGACAUUUUUGUGAAGGUGCAAUGUGAGUUGGACUGGAAGAAUGUCUAUUACAGAUCCUAAUUGAAGUAGCGAUUAUCCUAGGCUUGUAUCCUGGGGGCUGAUGAGGAGUAGGGUU